UGUAAAGCACACAUCUGAAUUUGGGCUCUUUAAGACGACUUAAUUCAUAAGCACAAUAGAAAGCCAAUCAAAUCUUACUUCCCUUAUUCAAAGCCAACUUAUCCAACGAUGCUAAUAGCAACAAACACAAACAUAUUUUGCCAAACUCUUUUGUUUUUCGCACGGCGAUCGCCCAACGACGGAUUCUGCCAGAGCGGUUUUUAUGUAUAGGCAUUGACCUACACUACAUGUGAAGUGCUUUCCGUUUGGAUAUUGUCUGGCUUUAGAACAUUGUUUAAUGCUUUCUAAUCAAAGAACAGUAUAGCAAAAAACAUUUAAAAUAAAGAAAAAUCUUUUGUAACAAGGAAAUCUUUGGAUAGCUGCCAAAUGAUCCAUCAAAAAUUGCUGUGUCCAAAUACCUGAUGUCAGUUGCGUUCAGCAUUAUCACCAAGAAUUAUUUUCUUCUGCCGUGUCUAUUAAGUGCAAACGAGAAGUUUAAAUUGUUGUCCAGAAUUGGUUCUACAUAAAAGUUAUAAGCUUACGUGUUGGUCAGCUUAUGUCACUAAUUGACAUCAUUUGUUUAAUUUAAAAUUUUUUUGUUGUAAAGAUUUUUGAUCCAGCAAAAUUAUUUUCAACAAAACGAUUAAAAAAUAAAGUAAAUUAUAGUUUGUUAA